AAAUUGAAGAGUUUGAUCAUGGCUCAGAUUGAACGCUGGCGGCAGGCCUAACACAUGCAAGUCGAACGGUAACAGGAAGCAGCUUGCUGCUUUGCUGACGAGUGGCGGACGGGUGAGUAAUGUCUGGGAAACUGCCUGAUGGAGGGGGAUAACUACUGGAAACGGUGGCUAAUACCGCAUAACGUUGCAAGACCAAAGAGGGGGACCUUCGGGCCUCUUGCCAUCAGAUGUGCCCAGAUGGGAUUAGCUGGUUGGUGAGGUAACGGCUCACCAAGGCGACGAUCCCUAGCUGGUCUGAGAGGAUGACCAGCCACACUGGAACUGAGACACGGUCCAGACUCCUACGGGAGGCAGCAGUGGGGAAUAUUGCACAAUGGGCGCAAGCCUGAUGCAGCCAUGCCGCGUGUAUGAAGAAGGCCUUCGGGUUGUAAAGUACUUUCAGCGGGGAGGAAGGUGUUG
rnacentral:rRNA from 1 species